AGCAAGCUAAGUUAGAGUAGACUGUUUGUUUUCAAAACAAAAUGCGGUUGGUGCCGUUUGCUG
rnacentral:tRNA from 1 species